UGGUAUACACUGACACCUAAUGACAAGAAUCACGCCUUUAUCUUUUCACAGUGACACGCAUCGAACACAAAAUGUGAAAGACAUGCCAGGUGAUAUAACUAUGUUGGUGCGGUAACAAUAUCUUAAUCCAGAAUGGAUUACAUACGUGAGUUUGAUAUCCGACUGGAUCGGGAAAUGUAUUAUGCUGGUGAAACUCUUGCUGGUCAUGUGGUUCUAGACACAGUUGAAAAUUUCAAACUUCGUGCGGUUCGAGUUGUCUUGCGAGGGAAGGCACAUGCAGAGUGGAAGGUAGUUGUUAGUGGAGACAGACGGACAGUUAAAGAUGAUCAGUACUUCAUUGAUGACAGAGCCAUUAUCUGGGGAAAAGACAAACCAGAAGGCAAUGUACCAAUUCUACCUCGUGGUCUCCACCAAUUCCCAUUUCAAUUUCAACUACCAGAGAGUUCACUCCCAUGCUCAUUUGAGAGUAAACCAGGUUUCAUACGGUAUUAUAUUAAGGUGACAGUGGAUAUUCCAUACGCUUCCCCACCACAGGGCAUGAAGUACUUCACCAUAAUAGGACCUCACAUUGACUGUAUGGAUGAGCACUAUCUGAAACCAAUGGUAGGACAGGACAAACGAACUACAUGCUGUCUCUGUUGUGAGAAGGGCCCUGUUGCACUUCGAACACAGCUUGAACGAUCAGCUUAUGUAUGUGGUGAGUCCAUAAAACUUCGAGCCAGCAUAGACAACCAGGGUGAAGAAGAGGUUAGACUUAAAGUGAAAUUAAUUCAGUAUGUGGAAUACUUCAUUGAUAGAGGAGUACUUGGUGUCAACAAGGAAAUUCAGCACCUGGUUCUAGAGUACAAGGGAGAGGCAGUCAGACCAAAUACCCGUUCUAAGUGGGAUUCUGCACAGAGCUUGGUUGUACCUGUCAUGCCUCCAUCUCUAGUUGGAGUGUGUAGGCUUCUACAGAUAUAUUAUGUACUCAAGGUUAAUCUGGAAUUUGAAAAGUCUGGUGAUGACCUCCAAAUGCACUUUCCAAUUACAAUAGCAACAGUUCCAUUCAGAAUCCCAAACUCCAGUCAACAGCCAAACAUUCACUAUGAAGUGAGCUGUGAGCACGUUGAAGGUGGUCUAUACAUUGGUCCAGAAUUCCUUCUUGGAGAAGUCUAUGAUGGCACCAACAGUCAUGAUUUACAGCGUGAUACUGUUGUCCUAUAUCGCCCAGUCUACGUGUCAGUUGUCAAGCCCAGCAACCAGCAUGUCUAGUGGACAGACAUGAUAUCUGUAAUUAAACUGAAGUUAUAUCACUUACUGGUUGGCAUAAACAUGAUAUUGUGGCAUAUUUGCUCAAAGCCAGCAGAGACAACCGUUGCUAGGGAACGGCUCUGGAAAAAAACGCUUGUUGUGAGGCAACAGCUUCAUAACAUGCAACAAUUGAGUAACUGAGAAGCGGUGUUCUCGACACGAUCCAUGCUGGUAGCUACGUGAUGCAACAAUAGAACAACUGUUGGGAGAAGUGUUUCCUAUGCAGUCCAUGUUGAGAUCAUAUAUAUAUGUAGUCUGCAGGCAGUCAGUUGACAGUUGCAGAAGCUGGUAGUUGAGGCUAGGGACAGUUCAGGAAACCAGAGGAUGGGGAGCGUCCACCAUUGGAAACCGCUACAAAGCAGCUCAGUGAAGAUGGUGGCUGAGAACACUAGUCCGUGUGUGAUAGUGAUUUGUAAAGUGUAGUCACGAGUUGUGUGUUGCAGAGCCCAAUAAAUCUCAUUACCAAUGCAAACCCCAUCUAUAGUCACUCUAUUACAUGAUAGUCUUGUGAUUACAAUAAUCUCACAUUGCUGAUAAUCAAGUGAACUUUGUAGAUGGAACUGUUCAACUAAAUACAGAGUGCUGUUCACUAACUGAUUUCAAGAAAUUUUGUACUAGAAAGUGAAGUGCAAGAAAUUGUUAUGGAUACAAAUUCAGUUUUAAAAUUUAACAUGUAUAUUAAUGACAUAUUGCACUAGUAUCCAGACUCUGAGGAAUUGGUGAAUAAUGGCAAAGACUCAGGUGAUUGAUGUUUUUUAUCACUAAUGGCAAAAGUGUUAAACAGGAAAUUCAACUACAAAAUUUGUAUGAUAUUUAAAUGUACUUCAUCUCCAAAUUUAAUUUUCUAAUUAUUUAAAUUUUUGGAACUAGAGUAAAAAAUAAAUACAGAUUAGUAAAGCAGGCAAGGAUGAUGGACACUGUAAAUUUAUGAAGUUUUGAAGAGGAUUUAUACAUAACAGCAGCAAGAACAAUAAUUAUGAGGAGGUUGAUGAUGAGGAUGAUAGUAACAAUAAUAGUGAAACUGUAGUAUAUAAAAUGAGAGAAGAUAUGCAAAGAUAAAAAAUAAUCUGUAAUAUAGGGAUUGAAAUGUGUUACCUUCUUAAUAUUUUAAUUCAGGCCACCAUAAAUUCUGUUCAUAUUUUCCUACAUAUUUCUUAAUUAACAAUUCAUUCCCUUCAAUUCUGCUACUUCAUCUGUAAAUACAUGUUAAUAUGAAAUACUGGCAACUUUUUCAUAACUCUUUGAAACAUUACGUUAAUUUAAACAAUAUUUUAAAAUUCAGCUCAUACCUCCUAGAAAACACUACAUAUCCAUUACAAAUGUGGUGUGGAUAAAUGCAAUUUGUUGGAAAAGACACAGGAUUUGAAUGUAAUAUCUGAUAAUACCAUACACAGUGAAACCUCCAUUUAAGGUUUUAUGGGGGAGCAGGGUGUAUGGACAGUAGUAAACUAAGAAAAACUUAAAAACACAAAAUUUAACAUUGAAGUUACAGACUUGAGGUCACUGAAAUUGCAGUUCGCAAGUUUCUCAUUUCAAAGUUGAACUGUUGAAGGGUGGCUGGAAAGAUUUCUUUCUACUCAUGAUGUAACAAAUAAGAAUUAAUGACAAUAGAAGAGUUCACUUCAGAUUGAUUUAUCUAAUUCAUAUGAUGGAAAUGGUUAAGAUUAUAUGCAGCAUAUGGACACAUUAUGAAGCAAGAAGAAAAGUCACAACAGAAUAUUAAAAAAAAUAAUAUUCUUGGAGGACAUCACACUUUUUCUAACAAAUGUUAAUUUUAACAAAAUCACAAUUUAUACCACAACUCCUUUUUUAUAACGUCUUUUAUUUGAAUUACUGAUGAUGUCUCCCAUUUGUAUUAAAGAAAUUAUCCCACUGUUUGACACUUUCUUUUACUGCAUAGAAUAAGAUCAGAGAAACAGCGAAUGAAUCACUAUAGAGGUGUGUUUCCAUUCUAAAACAACCUUUUCCUUGUAGGAAAUGAUAAAGUGUUCAAUAUCUGGAGAAAGUGGGAUAAUUCCUGUGUAUGAAACUAAAUGUCGAAGGCAGCAAUGCAGUUAUUCUGCUUUCAGCGUCCAUUGGAAUUGUCAGGUAUUUUCUCAUUGCUGUUAACUUACAAUAUUAACUGAUACUGUGAUUUCUAAGACUUAUUUCCUCUACUGUUGACACUUGUAUUUUGGAUUUCAAGAAUUUUUCUUUACUAGAUUAUUAAAAACACAAGAAAUCUCAGUCACAGUUGCUGCUCUCUGAGCCAGGGUUCAGACAUAUGACCUCUUGAAUAACAAGGAUGUUAAUCAAUACACUGUGAUGAUCAGUACCCAUUAUUUGGGGUACCACAAUAUGAAAAUUACAGGCUUUCAAAAAGCACCUGCCUACUCUUGCUUCCUUUGCUGUCACCUAUUUGACUUCUGAUUACUGACAGAUUUCAUACCUCCCUGACUAGACAUAUGAGAUAUUGGCAUGGCCAUAAUUAUUUCUAAAGCUGAAGAUAUACAUCACUUUAUCAGAAACUGCAAUUUAAAUGUUCUUAGCUUCCAUGAGAAUGCUAUUUGCAUUAUCAGUGAAAGUUAGAUAACCAACUAUUUGGCCUAAUAUAUGAAAGCAACAAGAUAAAUAUAAGCAUGGACUUAACAGAGCAAAUAAGUAAAAAGUUUCAGAGAAACUUAAUAUGUUGCUAGUGUAUCAUCCAUUACAAUACAUCAGGACUACACAUUUGUUGUCAUACUAUUGAUGUUAAGUGUUUAAGUAAACAAAAAUGUUCUGAAAAUACUUGUGCACCCACUGCUACUAGGUUUCUCCACCAGUGGAAGUAACGGUGUCUACACCAAAUUUAUUAAUGUCUGCAUGUUACCAUUAAGUGUAACAAAUUUAUUUUGUUUAAAUGUCCCUGAUAAAACUAGUUUAUUUCAAUAGAAUAUGUAUAAAUCAGCAACUUAGAAAAAAACGGAAAAUGGUGUCUUAAAUUUGCUAAUCAUUCUACAUUCUAUUUUAAUUAAAAAACACAACAUUCCCUGUAUAAAACCUCCAAUAAACGCUUAUUUACACCUAAACUAGGUUUUUAAUGAAUUUUAAAAUCAAGUACAUUUUGUAAUAAGGAUAGAACAACUAAAGAUGAGUGGUGUAAUAGCUCUUUUAAAAUGUCUGUAGGUAUGAUACCUGAGAGAAGUGUAGUUCCACAAGUUUUGUCCUUUCUUUUAUGUAGCCAACAUUUUCUUGGUACCAGAAGAUAACAAUAAAGACUUUGUCAUUCUGUAAAAUAUAUUUGUAAAUGGUGUUGUAUAUACAAAUGGUAACAUUAAAAGAUACACUAAUUAAAAUAUAAGAAUAUAAAUUCAUGAUUAAUAAAAUUAUAGAAAUGUU